rnacentral:rRNA from 1 species
UACGGAGGGGGCUAGCGUUGCUCGGAAUUACUGGGCGUAAAGCGCGCGUAGGCGGAUCGUUAAGUCGGGGGUGAAAUCCUGGAGCUCAACUCCAGAACUGCCUUCGAUACUGGCGAUCUUGAGUCCGGGAGAGGUGAGUGGAACUGCGAGUGUAGAGGUGAAAUUCGUAGAUAUUCGCAAGAACACCAGUGGCGAAAGGCGGCUCACUGGCC